GACCAUCGCCUUCCCUUGAAAAUCUGGUUUUCAUAUUCUCGCUCAGUAAUCACCCAAAGCCAUAACUGUCUCUGAAAUUAUUCAUUAAAGUCAUUUUCAGGGAUUCUCACAGGAUGACUCUUACGUUUAUGAUCUGAGAGCAAUGACAUCAGCCUCUGUCUUUUUUCCGCUUUUAAUUAAUGCGCGGUCAGCUGAGCGCCGGCGCGCAGACAUCCUUUGAUUAAGGAGGGUAUUUCGAGGAGUGCAGGCUGUGCAGAAGAUCACGGCUGUGCCCUGUGGUGCUGUCAGCAGUGACAGAUCCCAGAUGGGGCCCGCUACUGUAUGGCAGAUUGAGUUUCUCAACAGAAAACUCACCCUUCCUCCUAAACGUCUUCAAAAACCUUCUCCGGAUACUCCAUAAACAGUCCAAUCCCAAAGUUGGUUUUGUGUGCGUGUGCUUCUCUCUGCACUGUCUCUCCUUUGUGCAUCUUGGACUCCUGAAGGCCACUCAGAGCAUAGAUGCGGCAGCUUAGUUCUUUGGAGAAGCAGUGUGGAGUCCUAAAAAAGGAGGCUGAGUCUUACCGUUGAGGUCGGUGCCGGUAGAGAAUGGGAGGGAGUCUGCAGGAGCCAAGCACCCUAAAGAAGAGGAAGAGAGCACGUUGCUGAGAUUUGAACAGCGACCUGAGAGGUCAGACUGGACCCAGGCCUCCUCAAGGAGCAACGGAGAUGGAGAUUCUUCCCUUUUCCCGGCCCUUCGGUCCUUCUCCGGAAGAGCUACUCUGGCCAGCUCUGGGCUAGGGGCAGUGGCCGAAGAGAAGGGGAAAGUAAGGUUGAGAGCACUGGAUUCGAGCCCAGCAGAGAGCGGUUUCUAGGCCCCACCCACCCUCCCCCCAAGGUUUUCUUAAAAGUGAAUCUUGGCGUGGUUUUUGCAGACCAAACAUCAGAAACCCGGGAGAGGAAUCUAGAGAGUGCAUUUUGUUCUGUUUUGCUUUAAUAAUAAGUAGUGUGCCUUGUUAAACACCCUAUUACCCCCGCCCCCUUCUCCCACAACCUCUCUGGAGAAGAGUCUUUCCGGAGCGCCUAGAAACCUAAAAAUAACACGCCACGCUGAAGGUCCGGAGAAGCCACCGGCCACCUCUACAGAGUGGGGAUGCUGCCCGUGAAAGGUCAUCACUUUCUUCACCCCGACAACCUGACAACAAAGCCCAAGCAGUUGAUCCUUUCCUUCCUUUGAGCCCAGGAUCCAAGCCCGAAAUAGAUGGGGAGGCCCCAACCCUACAGCCAUGAGGAAAAAGUGGUUCCUCGGUGACCACCGUGGCCACCGUGGCCACCGUGACUAUCUUUCGAGUUAGAGCCUUUGGUCAAGUCUAGAUGUCACACUUUAAAUGCCUUCCAAUGUUCCCCUUCUCGAGUCUAAUUUUUGCAAAGAAAUGAGAUGGGACCAUCAGACUCUGCCUAUGUUGCUGCCAUCUGGUGUGCGAGCAGUCUCCAGCUUGUGCUCCAGCUUGUGCUGAGAAGCACGGCUGCAGUACCUUAGGGGUAAACCUAUGAUGCCAACCCCACUCACCUCCGCCAAUGUUUUUAGGUUUUUGCCUGUUGCUCUUAGGGAUCCAGGGGCAGAGUUUUGCCUUAGGUGCUGAAGGCAGCUGCUGGAGCCUGUUGCUUUUUCACACCACAGAUACUUCAUGCUGCCUAAUAUUCUACCGAGCCAGCCUAGGGGACUUGGAUCUGUCUCGCCUGGGGCUAAGAGAAUAGUUUCUCUAAGAAGAAAACAGUUCUAAUUCAAAGAUGCUGGAUCUGGCUUCCUUUAAAGCCUGAAGUCGCUGAAGUGGCCAUAGAACUAUGGGGUCCAGAGGACUGCCAGUCUCAGCCAGCCUUUAGGCUGGAGAGAGGCUGUGGGCCUGCUUGGGGACUAAAAUGGAUGAAUAAGAAACCUGUAAGAAAUGUAAACAGAUGGAAUGGCAAGGAGGAGAGCGCUGGAGAUUGUUCAGGUGUGAGCUGAGGUUUCUGAGUUUGUACUGGGGAUGCCUUUGCACACAGUGAGGUGCCCCCUCCCUAAGUGGCUCUUGUUUUGCACAAACAGCCCCACCCUGCGCACACACUGUGGGUCUCAGUAGGGACUGAGGGUGUAGGUGCUCAGGUUUUGGGGGUGGUGGUGAAGGGGCACUCAGAAUCAACAAGACAGGGCGGGGAAAAUCAAAAUCAACCAAGGAACCAGCCUUCCAUUUCUGAAAAGCCGCGCUCUGGCCCCCGUGCUUCAGUUCUGAAAUACGAAUAAAUGGAGUCAGAUCCCGUACUACACUCCGGGGACAGAGUUUUAAUGUAAACGUAAAAUAUGCUUGUAAUAAUCACUUGUGGGCCCUGAAGCGCCACUAGAAUGAAUCUCUGUUUAAUUAUAGGGCAUGAGAGGAGUAUUACCAGCUAAUUAAACCCCAUCCUAUUUGUAAUUCCCCCUCUGCUGCUACCGACUUUUAAAUGCGAAAUUGCUCUUUCUUUUAGGGGGAGAAAGGAGAAGGGUGAAGGCCGGGCUAGUAGUCGCUGCCCGCUGGGCAGCAUCUGGAGGCCCGUGCGGGAUGCAGGCGAGGGGGAUGGAGCGGCGCCGCUGGAGGAAGUUGGCUUCCCAUGGGACCUGCAACUGUCUGGAAACAAAAAAAGAAGCCUACCAAAAGGGGAAAUUUAAAGGAGAGCAAGAAACCAUGAAGAGAGAGCCGAAAACGCGAAAGUAAAGAGUUGCCCAACUUAUUUAAAAGCAUGCGUAAUUUUGCCCGGGAGUUUCCGCAGCGUACUCUAACUUUUCUCCGCCUGCUUCCUUGGACCCAAUUUUCUUGUUCUUAUUCUGGAAGGUUUUUUUGUUUGUUUGUUUGUUUGUUUUUUGUUUGUUUGUUUUUUAACUUGACUUUACUUUGCCUGGGAACUGCACGUUUGCAUACUCCUGCAGGCUCUCUACCCUUGGCAAUGGACAGAGAAUAGCAUCCGGGCGGGAGGCUUGGCUGGGAAAGAAAGCCCUGGCGUCACCCGCGGGUUCAGUCUAGGCACUCCCC
rnacentral:lncRNA from 1 species